rnacentral:rRNA from 1 species
UGGCGACCGGCGCACGGGUGCGUAACGCGUAUGCAACCUACCCAUAACAGGGGGAUAACACUGAGAAAUUGGUACUAAUACCCCACAACAUCAGGACCGGCAUCGGUUCUGGUUGAAAACUCCGGUGGUUAUGGAUGGGCAUGCGUUGUAUUAGCUGUUGGUGAGGUAACGGCUCACCAAGGCAACGAUACAUAGGGGGACUGAGAGGUUAACCCCCCACAUUGGUACUGAGACACGGACCAA